GAGGGUGUUAAUUUUAGGACAUAGAUUUUGGGAUUGGAGAAGAUUGCAAGGGAGCCGGAUAAGACUGGGGGUUCACCUAGGGUACUUGACGCUGAGAAGUCGUUUUAUUAUCACGGGGAGAGCUUGAGGCAAGCAUUGGCUGAUGAUUUGCACCAAAGGCUUUCUACAAAAUAGGACAUAAAGUCUUUGAGGAAUGGAUGACUAUGGGCACUGAACACCUUUGCUUCUCUGGUUGAGUUUCCUUGGCUUUCUGCAAGUAUAAGUUGAGAUAUAGGAUUGGUGGCAAAACGAUAGCUUUUGUGGACUACUUGAACUCAAAUAUUUUCUAUAA